GUUCUCUAAAAGAAGACUUUUAUAUGCAUUUCCCCUAGGGUCCUAUGUUAAACUUAAUCCCCCGCUGGUGGCCAUCUUGAAUGAUGGAUCGGCUACAAAGUAACAACACUUGGUCAGCAUCUCGUAAGAAACAUUAAUGCUAUGUUUGAUUUCAUUCCAUUCAGUGGUUCUCUAAAAGAAGAAAUUUGAAUGUAUUUCCCAAAGGGUCCUAUGUUAAACUAAGUCCCC
rnacentral:lncRNA from 1 species